rnacentral:rRNA from 1 species
GAUAGCGAACCAGUACCGUGAGGGAAAGGUGAAAAGCACCCUGAUUAAGGGAGUGAAAGAGUUCCUGAAACCGUACGCCUACAAGCGGUCGGAGCAGCAAUAUGCUGUGACGGCGUGCCUUUUGCAUAAUGAGCCUACGAGUUGUCGUUUUUGGCAAGGCUAAGGACAAUGAUGUCCGGAUCCGUAGCGAAAGCGAGUCCGAAAAGGGCGUUAAGUCAUGGGCGGCAGACGCGAAACCAAGUGAUCUACCCUUGUCCAGGUUGAAGUCCCGGUAACACGGGAUGGAGGACCGCACCGAUAAGCGUUGAAAAGCUUCCGGAUGAGAUGAGGGUAGGAGUGAAAGGCCAAUCAAACUUGGAGAUAGCUCGUACUCCCCGAAAUGCAUUUAGGUGCAGCCUCGGAUGUUUGCUGUAAGAGGUAGAGCGACUGAUCGGACGCGAGGGCUUCACCGCCUGUCAAGUCCGGACAAACUCCGAAUGCUUACAGCUUAAGUCCGGGAGUGAGGGACGGGGUGCUAAGGUCCCGUCCCGAGAGGAGAAGAAUCCAGACCGCCGGCUAAGGUCCCGAAGUGUAGGUUAAGUUAGUCUAACGCAGUGUGGCCCCCAAGACAGCUAGGAUGUUGGCCCGGAAGCAGCCAUUCAUUCAAAGAGUGCGUAACAGCUCACUAGUCGAGGGGCUGCGCGUGGAUGAUAAUCGGGUAUGAAAUCUACCACCGAAGCCACGGAAUCCAUUAUGGAUUGGUAGGGGAGCAUUGCCGUUGCGUUGAAGAUAUGAGGACAACUUGUAUUGGAGCGACGGGAAAAGCAAAUGUAGGCAUAAGUAACGAGAAAGAGGGUGUGACUCCCUCUCGCCGUAAGGUCAAGGUUUCCCGGGCAACGUUCGUCGCCCCGGGGUUAGUCGGGUCCUAAGGCUCAGCCGCAAGGCGAGGUCGAUGGCAAUGCGUUUAAUAUUCCGCAACUGUCUUUAAGAGCGAUGUGGUGACGGAGAAGUGACACUUCCGCGUCCUGACGGAAAAGGACGUUUAACGACAAAGGCGUUGAUGAUUACAGGCAAAUCCAUAAUCAGAGCUGAAGUCGGAAAGUACGAAAGGCCUUCGGGCUGCUCGAGUGAAGGUAAUCCGGCUCCCAAGAAAACCCGCUAGCAUUAUUUUAAAGACACCCGUACCGUAAACGGACACACGUAACCGCGUAGAAUAUACUAAGGCGCUCGGAAGAUUCAUGGUUAAGGAACUAGGCAAAUUGACCCCGUAACUUCGGGAUAAGGGGUCCUCAUAGUGAUAUGAGGCGCAGAGAAUAGGUCCAGGCAACUGUUUAACAAAAACACAGGGCUGUGCUAAGUCGAAAGAUGCUGUAUACAGUCUGACACCUGCCCGGUGCCGGAAGGUCAAGAGGAGAGCUUAGACUUUCGUCGAAGGUUUGAAUUGAAGCCCCGGUAAACGGCGGCCGUAACUAUAACGGUCCUAAGGUAGCGAAAUUCCUUGUCGGGUAAGUUCCGACCUGCACGAAU